GAUGAACGCUGACAGAAUGCUUAACACAUGCCAGUUGAUGGGGAAGUGGUGCUUGCACCAUGGCAACCAUGGCGGACGGGUGAGUAACGCGUAAGGGACUUACCUGCAGGACUGGGAUAACAGGGGGAAACUCCUGACAAGACCGGAUAAUGUCAUGGAGCUGCAUGGCUUUAUGAUGAAAGGAGACGCCUGCGGAGAGCCUUGCGUCCUAUUAGCUAGUUGGUGAGGUAAUGGCUCACCAAGGCGAAGAUAGGUAGCCGGCCUGAGAGGGUGGACGGCCACAAGGGGACUGAGAUACGGCCCUUACUCCUACGGGAGGCAGCAGUGGGGAAUAUUGGACAAUGGGGGCAACCCUGAUCCAGCAAUUCUGUGUGCACGAAGAAGGUUUUCGGAUUGUAAAGUGCUUUCAGCAGGGAAGAAGUAAGUGACGGUACCUGCAGAAGAAGCGACGGCUAAAUACGUG
rnacentral:rRNA from 1 species